rnacentral:rRNA from 1 species
UACGUAGGGUCCGAGCGUUGUCCGGAAUUAUUGGGCGUAAAGGGCUCGUAGGCGGUUCGUCACGUCGGGAGUGAAAUCUCUGGGCUCAACCCAGAGUCUGCUUCCGAAACUGCUGUGCUUGAGUGUGGGAGAGGCGCGUGGAAUUGCAGGUGUAGCGGUGAAAUGCGUAGAUAUCUGCAGGAACACCCGUGGCGAAAGCGGCGCGCUGGACCACUACUGACGCUGAGGAACGAAAGCUAGGGGAGCAAACAGG